GACAGAGGGUGCAAGCGUUGCUCGGAAUCACUGGGCUUAAAGGGCGCGUAGGCGGGUCCGCAAGUCGAUCGUGAAAUCCUUCGGCUCAACUGAGGGGGGUCGGUCGAUACUGCGGGUCUUGAGGGAUGCAGAGGAGACUGGAAUUCCCGGUGUAGCGGUGAAAUGUGUAGAUAUCGGGAGGAACACCAGUGGCGAAGGCGACUUCCUGGCCUGUUCUUGACGCUGAGGCGCGAAAGCUAGGGGAGCAAACGGG
rnacentral:rRNA from 1 species